rnacentral:rRNA from 11 species
AGAACGUCGUGAGACAGUUCGGUCCCUAUCUGCCGUGGGCGCAGGAGAUUUGAGAAGAGUUGCUCCUAGUACGAGAGGACCGGAGUGAACGAACCUCUGGUGUUCGGGUUGUGUCGCCAGACGCAUUGCCCGGUAGCUACGUUCGGACAGGAUAACCGCUGAAAGCAUCUAAGCGGGAAGCCCCCUUCAAGACGAGAUUUCCCUCAGAGUUUAACUCUGCUGAAGUGCCGUUCAAGACGAGGACGUUGAUAGGCUGGGUGUGUAAGCACAGUGAUGUGUUGAGCUAACCAGUACUAAUUGCACGUGAGGCUUGACC